rnacentral:rRNA from 1 species
UACAGAGGUCCCAAGCGUUGUCCGGAAUUACUGGGUGUAAAGGGUCCGCAGGCGGGCGAGCAAGUCGGUGGUGAAAGUUCACGGCUCAACCGUGAAAUUGCCUUCGAUACUGCUUGUCUUGAGUUCGAGAGAGGAUAAUGGAAUUCAUGGUGUAGCGGUGAAAUGCGUAGAGAUCAUGAAGAACACCAGUAGCGAAGGCGGUUAUCUGGCUCGAUACUGACGCUCAGGGACGAAAGCGUGGGUAGCAAACAGG